rnacentral:pre_miRNA from 1 species
UCUUCAUUCCGAAUGAUCUCUAGUCGGUCAAAGAAAGUGAGAGAUCACGCGAAAUGAAGAGA